rnacentral:rRNA from 2 species
AAAUUGAAGAGUUUGAUCAUGGCUCAGAUUGAACGCUGGCGGCAGGCCUAACACAUGCAAGUCGAACGGUAACAGGAAGCAGCUUGCUGCUUCGCUGACGAGUGGCGGACGGGUGAGUAAUGUCUGGGAAACUGCCUGAUGGAGGGGGAUAACUACUGGAAACGGUGGCUAAUACCGCAUAACGUCGCAAGACCAAAGAGGGGGACCUUCGGGCCUCUUGCCAUCAGAUGUGCCCAGAUGGGAUUAGCUUGUUGGUGAGGUAACGGCUCACCAAGGCGACGAUCCCUAGCUGGUCUGAGAGGAUGACCAGCCACACUGGAACUGAGACACGGUCCAGACUCCUACGGGAGGCAGCAGUGGGGAAUAUUGCACAAUGGGCGCAAGCCUGAUGCAGCCAUGCCGCGUGUAUGAAGAAGGCCUUCGGGUUGUAAAGUACUUUCAGCGGGGAGGAAGGGAGUAAGGUUAAUAACCUUAUU